AGCACCGCUGUGGUGUGGGCCGGACUUGUGGGCAAAGACUUUGAGUCAGGUGCUAAAACUUAAUCCUCUCUUGUAACCCAGAAUUCAUUGUUCUGUAUGAGUUCUGAGCAUGAUAAAAAUUUAUUUA